UUUGCAGAUUUAAAUUCUUACCCAAAAAUGGUGGAGUAGGGCUCCUGGCUGUAACACUCUAAUUUUGUUUGGUUUUCUUUUGUUGUUGUUGUUAUCAUGAAUUACUUUACAAACUGUUAAUUUUGAAGGACCUAGUCCAUCUUGGCAAAGCUUAAGAGCUUGUGAUAAGCAAUGCUAAGCUUUGAAUGCUAAUGGACUCAGAUUAAUUGUCUCUCCUCCCUGUUCUGGGCUUCUUGUACUUGUACACUGUGGAUCUGCAGAUCAUAGGAGAGGGAUCAUGAAAAUGGUCGUCUCUAUCUCAUAAAAAUUUGUUUGGCCUUGUUUGUAACAUUUUAUCUUGUAACUCAUGAUAUGAGACACAUAUCAACACUGCUUGUCAGAUUUCCCAUUCUCUCUUUUCUCCCAUUUUUCUAUGGCUUUUUACAAGACCAUUUUGGUAGGAUUAUAAAUAUGCUAAUUGGAUCGUAUUGACCCAAUCGGGCCUGGCCCGAUAGAGGCCCAAAACCUCCACCGGUCUUCCGGCCCAAUCUUGGCCCAACUUCAACUUGCAACGACCAUCAUCACCAUUGUGUAUUGGCACUCCCGCGCCCACUAUGGAUCCCAUUCGCAUUUAAUGCAAGUUCCAUCUGCAUUUAUUGUCGGUCCCGUCGACACCACUCCUCCAUUAGGGAGCCUCACCAGCGCCGGAUAUCAUUGUCCCAUCACCUUGCGACACUCGAGACAAGCAUGCAUACAGGGGGACUCUCCCCUUCUUUAUUCUAUAUAAACCAGCCUGAUCACAGACCAAUGUAUGUUCUUUUCAGUUGAUCGACACCCUGCCAACUUAAUCCCUUACUCAUUUCACCAUCAGAGUAUUUUACGGGUGCUACCACCUCCCAUUUCAAUCAUUAGAACUAGCUUCGACAUCCUGGAAUCUCCCAUUUGGCAACCCUUUGAGCUAGAAGGAACAUUUGGCGCCCAUCGUGGGACCUGAUAAAACUUACUUAUCCCAUAAUCUCACCAAACCCUUUCAAACCAAUCCCACCACCUUCCCAUGGUGCGAACCAGAAGCAUUCCUAACCAAGAACCAAAUGCCAACAACCACCAACCAGAGAAUCCAACCAUCAUGGAGGUCCUCUUUCGAACCGUCCAACAACUCCAAAACCAGGUUGUUGAGUUAACCCAAAAUUCGCAGCGUGACCAAGGCAACGAGCAGGUCAAUGACGACACAGAAGGUAGUUGCCGCCAACAACACCAAGCUACCCACACUCCCAUUCUUUCACUUUCCACAUCCCUAUGUGCUCUGGGCCACCCCUUCUCAUAGUUCAUUAUGUAUGUACCUUUGCCAGAUGGCUUUCGCCUUCUCAACACUUUGGAACCAUAUGACGACACCUUCGACCUCCAGGAGCGCCUGACUAUGUUUAAUGCCACAAUAUUGUUAAGCGGGAGCCCAGAUCCGAUCAUGUGUCGAGCGUUUCCCAGCACACUUAAGAAGUCAACCAUGUUAUGGUUCUCCUCCUUGGAACCAAACUCUAUUCAUCACUUCUUCAAGCUAACCACACGCUUCGUCACCCACUUUUCCACCAGUCGAACACAUCAUAAAACAUUGAUAAGUCUCAUCAAUCUGAGGCAAGGAGAGAACGAGUCACUCCAAGCCUUCCUGCAUAGGUUCAACCAGGAGGCCAUUCAGAUUAAAGAUCUAAACCCAACCGUUUCUCUACAUGUUAUUAUGACCGGGCUUAAACCGAGGCCCUUCACUGACUCGCUAGCUCAAAAACCUCCAGCUAACCUAGACGACCUCGGGUUACGGGUUAUAUAAAUAUGGAAGAAGUCUCGGUCGCCCAACACGACAACCCCCAACCACAGGCUUGACCGCAGCCAACCCAACGACCAAGACCCUUUGUUGAGCAUCAAUGCUGUCUUGAGAGAGACUUUGGCCGAGUACGAGAAAAUAAAGAUCGCCAUAGGAGACGCAGAGAGUCAGCCUAAGUCCUUGAGCCACGUCGAUUGUGCUAUGACAACUACACUCCCUUUACAACCUGACGAGAUCAGAUUCCUCCAAGAGGUUUACAAUUCAAGGGUCAUCCUACUCCCCAAGGUAAGAGCUAGGCCUAAUCUUGAUCCCAACUUAGACACCAGUAAGCAUUGUGAUUACUACAGGAUGUUCGACCACACGAUCGAAGAGUGCGCAGCCUUUAAGGAUCAGAUUGAAAGGCUAAUCAGAUAAGGUCACCUUCUGCGGUAUGUCUACCAAAGGUGAGGACGGAGUGUCGAGCCAAGUGAUGUUUGAUGCCCAAGGAGAAGCUACAGCCCGCGAAACUGACCUAGGGCUAGGAAGGGUUGGGAUACUCGGUCGAAUCCCGCUAAUCAGAUAAGGGGGGUCAUCAACACAAUCUCCGGAGGUUUUGCGGGCAAGGGAAACUCGAACUCGACAAGGAAGCGACAUCUUCGGGCAGUGAUGUCGGUAAGCAAUGCCAAGAAGAAGUCAUAGAGGAUAGCCCGGCAUCCGGUGAUCUCCUUCACCAACGAAGACUUGAGGAGAUUGAUCAAAAUCUCAACGAUCUUAUGGUGGUCUUGGUUGUUACCGCCAAUUUUUUAGUUAAAAAAGUCCUUAUCGACUAGGGGAGCUCAGUGGACCUACUUUAUCUGUCAACUUUCAAGAGAUUGCAUAUUCCUGAGGAAAGCCUUAAGCCUUUCCAUGGGAGCCUGGUUUGGUAUCUCUAAGGAACAAGUAAACAUCAAGGGCUACAUUGAACUACUUACCACAUUCGGCAUGGUGCCUCUCUAGAAAACCAUCAAUGUUAGGUACCUAGUAAUCGAUUGUUGGACUCCAUACAAUGCAUUCCUCAGCUGCCCUUCUUUUAAUGCCCUGGGUGCAGUUGUCUCCGCCUCGCACUUGGUAAUGAAGUUCCCGAUAUAGGCCACUGAAGUCGGGGUAGUUCAUGUUGAUUAGAAAGAAACUCGGCAAUGCUAUAACGACAGCUUGAAGCCUCGAAACCCUGAGCCUCGCAAGGAACCCAACAAUAGACAAGACCUUGGUGCUGACGUUCCCAACACCAGCUCCUGAGCUCCUCGGAAGAAUGUGAACAUGGUCGAACUUGAUCCUCGGAGUGGGCCCCUUGAUAGCCGCCCCUGGCCCACGGAAGAGCUAUUUGCCACAAGUUUGGGGCCUUGCCUGGAGUAAAUAACUUAAGAGCAAUUGGUCGAGCUCUUGCAACAAAAUAUCGAUUUAUUCGCCUGGACACUUGCAGACAUGCUCGAAAUCGACCCCUCGUCUGCCACAAGUUGGCAUUGGACUCGUGUGCAAAGUCGGCCGAGCAAAGGAAAAUGAAGUUAAGGGAAGAAAGACAGAAGGCGGUGGUUGAGGAGACAACCAAACUGUUAAAAGUCGGGUUCAUCGGGGAAGUACCAUACACCAUGUGGCUGGCUAAUGUGAUGAUGGUAAAAAAAAGCUUUUAGCAAAUGGAGGAUGUGUGUUGACUUCACAGACCUAAACAAAGCAUGCCCGAAGGAUUCGUACCCUUGCCAAACAUUGACAGACUCAUCGAUACAAGUAUCUGAGCUUUAUGGAUGUGUACUUGGGCUACAAUCAAAUCAGGAUGCACCCGAACGAUGAAGACAAGACAACCUUCAUUAUGGAAAAUGUCAACUUUUGCUACAAGGUUAUGCCCUUUGGGUUGAAAAACACCGGGGGCAACUUGUCAGCGGUUAAUAAACAAGGUAUUUUUUGAACAAAUAGGCUGAAAUAUCGAGGUAUAUGUCAAUGACAUGGUUGCAAAAACCCCAGAAGACAAAAAUCACUGCUCGGACCUGGCCGAGAUCUUCAGGCAAAUCUGGAGACACAAUAUGAGGCUCAAUCCAAAGAAAUGUGUUUUUGAGGUAUAGGCGAGAAAAUUCAUCGGAUUCAUACUCACCAACCGAGACAUAAAAGCCAACCCUGACAAGUGUCGCACAACCCCAACACGGUGAAAGAAGUGCAACGCCUAACCGGAAAGAUUGCAGCUCUCUCUCGGUUCGUGUCUAAAUCGGCGGAUCAAUUCUUGCUAUUCUUUCAAUGCCUCAAGAAGCCAGUAGAGUUUCGUUGGACAGAGUAAUGUGAAGCCGCUUUCUAGGAGUUGAAACACUUUCUGGCCAUCCCUUUGAUCCUGACAAAAUCGGAAUCAGGCGAAGAGCUUCUACUCUACCUUUCAGUAACCGAGAACACACUCAGCUCCAUCCUGGUCAGGGAAGAAGACAAGAAGACACAGUGGCCGAUCUACUUCGUCAGCCGGGUCCUGCACGGGCCCAGGGUCCAAUACUAGAAAAUAGAGAAGUUGACACUUGCAUUGGUGACAAUAACCCAAAAACUAAGGACCUAUUUCCAUAGUCACCAGAUCAUAAUUCAAACUAAUCAGCCAAUCUGGCAGAUUCUCCAAAAGCCUGAGCUCUUUGGGAGGAUGAUUGCGUGGUCAGUAGAAUUGUCCGAAUUUGGAAUUCAAUACCAACCUCGAAAGCACAUCAAAUCUCAGAUAUUGUUCGACUUCUGUGUUGAGUUAUCCUCUCCUACCCAAAACUCGAAUAGUAACCCCUAGGUUUUUUUUGUCGACAGAGCAUCCAAUAUGAAGGGAAGUGAGGUCGGCAUCAUUCUAGAGGGGAUUGAAGGGAUAUUGAUUGAGCAAUCACUCAGGUUCGGUUUUAAGGCAAGCAACAAUCAAGCAAAGUAUGAAGCUCUUAUAGCCGGACUCAUCCCAUUCCGACAGAGAAAUUUGACGCCAAAUGGGUUGAGCGGAAGACAAAAUCCUAAGCAAAAACUUAUUUCAUGAAUCACUAUGUACCCUUUCGACAUAGUAGCGACACAAGAUUCAUCCAGCUUGGGCAAUCUGGCACGAUAAGAAGAGGGAAUACGAUUGUUGUCCACCAAUUAAGCAACCUUGUUGGUUGUUGGGAUGGAAUGGUUGGCCAUAAGGAAUCGACAGGAGCAUCCCUCGAGAUCCUGAGUACAGAAAUAAACACUCCUUGGUGCCAUACUAUAGAAGGGCAUGAGGAAUAAAAUCAGAAGAUACAAGGCUUAAAGGAAGAAAAGAUAAUUGUAAGGGUUCGGUAGCCAAAGGACACGUUUCCCCUAAAAAUAGCACAAAAGAAUGAAUUUUCUCAACAAAAGAAGGGGUUGUGCAAAAAAGAGAAAGCGGGUAGCACAAAGGAAGCAGUGGGGUACAAAGAAAAUCUAGAUCCUUGUGGCAAAGGUUGGAUCCUUGCAGUAGUAAGGGUUGAGAUGCUUGCAGCAAAGAAACCAAGAAAGAUGAUAGAUCCUUGCGACAAAGAAGACAAGAUGGAGAAGAAACUCUUGCAGGAAGAAAGCCAAGAAAGAGGAAUCCUCGCGGCAAAGGCCAAAAAGGAAAGGAACCCUUGUUGUAAUUAACACAGAAAGGAGAAGAAGUCCUUGCGGCAUAACAGGGGAGGAAACUCUUUCAACAAAACAGAAGAAAAAGUGGGGAGAUCCUUGCAGCAAAAAAGAAAUCCUUGCAAUAAAGGCCAAGAAAGAGAACCCUUGCAGCAAAAAUCCAUGCGACAAAGAAGACAAGGACAUAAAUCCUUGCGGCAAAGGCCAAAAAGGAGAAGAACCCUUGCAACAAAGGCCAAGAAGGGAGAAGAAAUCCUUGUGGUAGAACAAGGGAGGAAAAGAGUUUUGGCAAAAUAGAAGAAAAUCCUUGCGGUAGAGAGGAGUUACUUGAAAUUUUGUUGCGACGGAGAGAUAUUCUUUCCAGGGAAUAGAAUAAUGUCACCAAGGGUAAAAGCACAAGGAAUGACCAAGGUAAAAAAGCAUGGAAUUUAUAGGAGUUCUUGUUGGAAAACUAAUGGACGACGCAAAAACCAUCCCGUGGGUAAUAACUGGUCUCGCGACAAAGUGGGGGGCAAUAAUUUUGGAAAAUUUUCUACUCUUCCAUUUUACCUUAAGGUAAAAAAAGAAGAGUGAGGGACAAUUGUUGUACUGCCUAUAGAAAGAUGAUAAAGAAAAAGAGAGGAUUUUUUAAAGUAAAAAAGGAUCCUUAGAAAUGACCUUGCGGCAAAGGUGGCCUUGUGGCAAAAGGGUCUUGCAGCAUUGGCCUUAGUCUUGGCAUAGAGGGAUCAUUGAAACAACAUGCCUUGCGGUGAUGGUGUAAUUUCGAUGUAAAUAUGCCUUGUGGCAGUUUGAUGCUUGUGACGGUAUGGUUGUAGUGGCUAAGUAAUCCUUUUGGCAAAGAGCUUCACAAGGCCAAAGACCAUCGCGACAGUGUGAUGAUGUUCGCUUUGGGAAUUAUCUUAACAAAAGCCUCGCACGGCUAAGGGGCUUAUGGCCAAAUAAUCCUUGCAGCAGUGUGAUUCUUACGGCGCAGUGGUCUUGGUCUUACGGCAAAUGCCUACUCUCGGCAAGACCAAGGCUUCCUCUUAGCAACUGACAUGUGUCAACACCCGAUAUUAUCGAGAUUUGUGCCCUACAAAUACCCUACUAUAGAACUCAGAAAGAGGGAAAAAUUUUGGUAAACUCUAAACACUCAAAGCAUUUCGACUGCUUCUUUGCGAAUACUUGUUUCUCGUGGGUAUUGAUUUAAGCAACGGAGGGUCAUCACGGGUGAGGAUUCCCACGAGUCUUCUAACCUUAUUUUUUUUAAGUAUCAACAGGAGAAUAGAGAAUUUUCAGCAAGCCCAAUUCCUUUCGGCAAGAGACUUAAUCCUUGCGGCAAGCCCAAUUCCUUUUAGCAAUAGUCUUAACCCUUGUGGCAUCAUCCUUGAGGCAACAUCCUUGUGGCAACCACCUUGGGGCAAUAGAAUCCUUGCGGCACUCACAUCCUUGGGGGCAGUUUUAUUCUUGUGGCAGCUUUUGUUCCUCUAUACAAUUAUAGUAACCUCAACAGCCCAUGCCUUUCUAGCGGCAUAUAAAUUCCCUUUUGGCAGUAUCAUUUCGCUUGGACAUUGAGCUUAGGUACCCACAAUUGCUAGUUUUACAUCAUAAAAUCUAAUUGUUGUAUUUUAAGGUAGUAUCUGACUGUUCUCUUUUUUUAUAGUUCAUGGAAUUGUUGGUCAUUGGAGAUGAAACAUUAAAAGGACAACCUUUUCAUGAUUUUGAUUAAGGGGUGAUAGAUCUUGGUGAUAGUCAAUGCUAUACGUCAUGUUUGCUACUUCACAUUGCAGUUUGAUAUUCUCUACAUCAGAAUAACAUAUUUUUAGCUCUUCCAGUCCAUCUUGGCAAAGCUGAUAGCCAUGCCAUGGCAAUGUUCAGCUUUGAAUGCUAAUGGACUAAUAUCAAAUGUCUCUCUAACUGUUCUUUGUUUCUUAAUAGUACAUGGAACUAUGGAUCAGUGGAGAUGAAACAUUGUCACUUCAAAAACCAUGGUCUUGGCUUGUGUGGAAUCAGUGACUGAAGAAAGGCAAAAUUCGGACCAACAGCAAUCAACUCACACAAUGGCAAAACGGUGGCUUGCAGUGAUGCAAUUGAAUUGCAGCCGCUCUUUCCUUGUUUUGCCAAACACAAGAGGACCUUUUUACCUUCCUGGCCUUAAACCUUAAAUCCUAAAUUCUCUUAUGUUAAAGUAUCGAACUCUUAACUUUGUGUAUAUUCACCAAGAUUUAAAGGGACUCUUUCUCUAUGUCCAUCCAUAUCGAGCUGGAUAAGUAGAGAAUCUUUUCAAUGUGCAGGACCCAUUUUGUUAAUGUUUCAAAGAUAUAGAUUGUUUUUUCUACUAGGAUUGUGUUGUGUGAAGAGUUUGUAAGGGACAUUGGAAAAAUUUGUCUUCCAAACAGUCUUCAAGCAAAGUGACACAUUAUUGUGUAUUUGUAGUCACAAGCAAUGGUUACAUAUUAUAUUUUUCA